CCUUAUCUUAGCGGCGGACGGGUGAGUAAUGCUUAGGAAUCUGCCUAUUAGUGGGGGACAACAUUCCGAAAGGAAUGCUAAUACCGCAUACGUCCUACGGGAGAAAGCAGGGGAUCUUCGGACCUUGCGCUAAUAGAUGAGCCUAAGUCGGAUUAGCUAGUUGGUGGGGUAAAGGCCUACCAAGGCGACGAUCUGUAGCGGGUCUGAGAGGAUGAUCCGCCACACUGGGACUGAGACACGGCCCAGACUCCUACGGGAGGCAGCAGUGGGGAAUAUUGGACAAUGGGGGAAACCCUGAUCCAGCCAUGCCGCGUGUGUGAAGAAGGCCUUAUGGUUGUAAAGCACUUUAAGCGAGGAGGAGGCUACUGAGACUAAUACUCUUGGAUAGUGGACGUUACUCGCAGAAUAAGCACCGGCUAACUCUGUGCCAGCAGCCGCGGUAAUACAGAGGGUGCGAGCGUUAAUCGGAUUUACUGGGCGUAAAGCGUGCGUAGGCGGCUUUUUAAGUCGGAUGUGAAAUCCCCGAGCUUAACUUGGGAAUUGCAUUCCAUNCUGGGAAGCUAGAGUAUGGGAGAGGAUGGUAGAAUUCCAGGUGUNGCGCUAC
rnacentral:rRNA from 1 species